CAGCCGCCGCGGUAAUACGUAGGGUGCAAGCGUUAAUCGGAAUUACUGGGCGUAAAGCGUGCGCAGGCGGUUAUAUAAGACAGAUGUGAAAUCCCCGGGCUCAACCUGGGACCUGCAUUUGUGACUGUAUAGCUAGAGUACGGUAGAGGGGGAUGGAAUUCCGCGUGUAGCAGUGAAAUGCGUAGAUAUGCGGAGGAACACCGAUGGCGAAGGCAAUCCCCUGGACCUGUACUGACGCUCAUGCACGAAAGCGUGGGGAGCAAACAGGAUUAGAGACCCCUGUAUCCCUGUCUCUUAUACC
rnacentral:rRNA from 1 species